GGACCCCGGGAAAGGCCCCAGAAGAUCCUCCCCCCUGUGGAGUUGGGCGUGUUGGCGUGGGUAGGAGGCGAGGUCCCGGCCCCCAUGUCCCCCUGCAGGCACUCCAGUGCGAUGUCUCGGUGGAGGAGGACGACCGCCAGGAGUGGACGUUCACACUCUACGACUUUGACAACUGCGGGAAGGUCACCAGGGAGGACAUGUCCAGCCUCAUGCACACCAUCUAUGAGGUCGUGGAUGCCUCGGUCAACCACUCCUUGGGCAGCAGCAAGACCCUCCGUGUGAAGCUAACCGUCAGCCCCGAGCCCUCCAGCAAGAGGAAGGAGGGUCCUCCUGCUGGCCAGGACCGGGAGCCCACCCGUUGCAGGAUGGAGGGUGAACUGGCAGAGGAGCCAAGGGUGGCUGACAGGAGGUUGUCUGCACACGUCAGUCGUCCACUCUUCUUCCUGUUCUGUGAGGAGGUGGGUGCUGGUCAGGAUGCACCCUGGACCCC
rnacentral:sRNA from 1 species